rnacentral:lncRNA from 1 species
GCCUCAUAUCUCCUUAUAUUAAUGUUCAUUUGUUAUUGAUUGAUAAGAUUAAGUGUAAGUUUUCCUUCUGAUUUGUGCUUGUUUUGAUUUCUAAAGAUGAAGAUUUGCAAUUGAUAAAUAACACUUUUUUUAUUGUUGAUUUGUUUAAAAGAUUUUAAAUGGAAAAAAAUAUUGGAUGAUUCAUGCAGUCAGACCUUUGGCAAACAUCUAAAUUCUUGUAGUGUAAUAAUCUAGACUUGUUAUUUCUGAAUAUAAGAGAACAUGCUAUCAAAUAUAGAGUAUGUAUUGAAUUAAUCCAUUUUAUUCAGUUAUUAGACGACUCACUAUAUAGCUACCUGCCAAAAUCUAAAACAUUCUUUUUGACCCUACCUAUUAGUAAACCUAUUAUACUUAUCUUUAUUAUAUUGAAAAAGAAAAAAGGUCACUAAAAUUUCUAUUUAAGAAUUCUGCCUAAAAAUAUCAUGUUUUUCAUGAUAAACAUACUUUACGAUAUUUGACCUAAUAUGAAAUCCUUUGUUAGCUUCGCCUUGUACACACAUAUCAUACUAACACUUGAUUCUGAGUGAUUCACAUCAUCGAAACCAAGAUUAUGAACCAAUUCCAAACCAUUUAUUCUAAGUCCAUAAAAGUUGUUAGGGUAAUAUUUCUGACAAAGUUUGGAACUUAGAGUAAUAUUUCACAUUGAAUGUUCUUAAACUUCAUUCCUUCUUUUUCAAAACAUAUAGAAGUCUACUUUUAGCCAUUAAAUAAAUAUACAAUGGCCUUUAUUAUUGUUAUGAAUAAUGUUUUUGAUUUUUUUUUCAUUAUUAAAUGUUGGAAAUUUCAUUUUGAAGUGCUUUUAAUUUAUUAUUAACUAAACCCUUUCUUUUUAAAGUUUUGUUAAGCUUUUUAUUUUUGUGUUUAUUUUUCUUGUAUACAUGUUUUGUAUGAUAGAAGUAUGAAAAGUCCCCUUCAUUAAAAAAAUCAAACUGUAGGAUAAACCUAUCAAAAUAUUUCUUCCAGUUUUGAGAAUAGACUAGGCUUGAAUAUAUUAGUUUGUAUUUUUUUAUAUUGUAUCUCACAUAUUUGCAUAAUAUGGCAUUCAUAAGAAAUAUUUAAAAAUCUUUCUAGUAAUAUUGACAUAUGAGCUUUAAAAAGACAGCCAAACAACAAAUGGAAGUUUUUAACGACCUUGACUGGCUAUACAGCCCUUGCACGGUCGGUUAAGACAGCCACAUGUCUUAUAUACAAGGGGCCUCUGUGGUCGAAUGGUCUAAGUAGUUACUACUGUAAUCAAUGCCCUUCAACACUGAAGUAGUGAGUUUGAACCCUGAUGGUGCAGGUGUAUUUGACUCCAACCUUAAAUUUCUAGGAUUGUCAGUUUUCCUAGUGUUUUUCUAAGGCUUCCUCCACCAAUAAAAACUGGUUGCCACUGAUUGGCCAAUAAGCGGUGCUUAAAAGUGGCGUUAAAACACAAAAAAAAUCAAAAAUCAAAAUCUUAUUUGCCAAAAAGUUAAUAUACCAUCUUUUGCAUACAAAAAUGGCAUGGCAAAUAUUUUAAUAAAAGCUAAAUUUCAUAUAUCUUUGUAUUGAGUAGAAUAUCUCUUUCAUACAAAAAAGAAUGUGGCAAAUAUUUUGUUAAAGCUCAAAUUAUCAGAUUAUCUCUAUAUAUGUCAUAAUUGAGACAGAACAAAUUACAUUCCUCCAACUGAAUGACCAGUACGAAACCAUUUUUUUUUAAUUAUGUUAUAUAUCAAUAAGCAUAUACCCUUUGUUUACAAAACUGAUACAUAUAUUUGCUAGAAAAAACAACAUAUAAGCAAUAGAAAAGCUUUUCUAUUUGUUUGUAAUGUAUAUAUCUUCAUGAAUAUCUAAUGUGUUUAACUUUUCUGCUGCACUGUCUUGUUAUGAAAAUUGUACUAGUCAGUAUUGUCAAGGUUAAUGAUAUUAUAUUUUAAUUAUAAAACACAUG